ensembl:lncRNA
GAGUGAAGUCAGAAGAAUCCAUCAACGCCCUAAAAAACGACUUAGUGGCUCAGAACUGGGAAAUAAUACACCAAGCAAAUGACAUUGACUGUGCAUACGAAAAUUUUCUACGAAUAUUUAGGUCAUUAUAUGAUAAAAACUGUCCAAUUCAAGAAUACAUUAUACAACUAAAAUAUACCAAAUGUCCAUGGAUCACAAAGGGAUUACGAAAUGCCUGUAAAAAGAAAAACACACUUUACAGAGAUUUCCUAAGACACAGAACUAAAGAUGCAGAGAAUAAAUAUAAAAUAUAUAAAAAUAAAUUAAUUAAUAUUAUAAGAACAAGCAAGAAAGAAUACUAUAAGAAAAUAUUAAAUGAUAACAAGAACAAUAUUAAAGGAAUAUGGAAUAUACUAAACAGUAUUAUAAGAAAUAGCCCUAGACAAAUAAGUUAUCCUAAGUAUUUUAUUGAUAAGGAUAAUGCAAAUUAUAAUAUGGAUGAUGUAGCUAACAGUUUUAAUCAAUUCUUUGUAAAUGUUGGACCUGAACUGGCAGAAAAAAUUCCUGAUCCAGGGACAUCUGGUGAAGAUUAUAGUACAUUAUUGGAGAGAAAUCCCUACUCAAUGUUUCUCAAAGCAGUAGAGGAGAAAGAAAUAUUGGAUAUUGUUACAAAAUUUAAAAACAAAAAGUCUACUGAUCUUAAUGACCUCGACAUGACAUUGGUCAAGAAAGUCAUUGAGGGGAUUUCAAAACCAUUGACGUUUAUCUGUAAUUUAUCAUUUCAAACUGGUAAAUUUCCAAACAAAAUGAAAACAGCAAAAGUUAUACCACUUCACAAACUACAGACCAGUCUCGCUACUUCCACAGUUCUCAAAAAUAUUGGAAAAAAUCUUCAACAAUAGACUAGAUACAUUCUUAGAAAAGCACAAAUUAAUUAAUGACAGUCAAUAUGGAUUCAGAACCAACAGAUCAACAUCACUUGCAGUAAUAGAAUCAGUUGAGGAAAUAACAAACGCCAUUGAACAGAAAAAAAUAUGCAGUAGGGGUAUUUAUUGAUAUCAGAAAAGCUUUCGAUACAAUCAAUCAUGACAUUUUAUUUGAUAAAUUGGAAAGGUAUGGAAUAAGGGGGAUAGUAUUGGAUUGGGUUAAAAGCUAUUUGAGCAAAAGACAGCAGUUUGUGAAGUUGGGGAAUUGUUCUUCAACAUGUUUGGACAUUGCUUGUGGCGUCCCUCAGGGGUCAGUGUUGGGUCACAGAAAUACAUAUAAAUAUAAAUGGAGUUGAAAUUGAAAGAGUUUACGAAAAUAAAUUUCUUGGGAUUAUAAUCGACGAACGAUUCAGUUGGAAAUCACACAUUACACACGUACAAUCAAAACUAUCAAGAAGCAUUUAUGUAUUAAACAAAGUAAAAUUGGUUCUAGAUCAAAAAUCACUCCGUAUUCUCUACUGUUCACUAGUCUUACCAUACCUCAAUUACUGUACGGAAGUCUGGGGCAACACGUACAAAACUUCAUUACAUUCACUUACUAUUCUCCAAAAAAAAGCCAUUCGCAUUAUUCACAAUGUGAGAUAUCUGGAUCACACUAACCCACUAUUCAUAC